GAGCACUAGGUGUUGCAUGGAAACCAAGUUGCUAAUAAAUUUCAUAUUAAAAAAAAAAAAAGAAGCAGCUCAUUUUGUACUGCCUAAAUCAUUUAAUUUUCCAGUGUAAGAAGAGGAAUCAGCUAGUCAUAGAAACUACUCAUAGAAACAAAAAAACAACCUAUCUUAAUCUAGGACUUUCUGUUAAAAAUCAUAUUAGGAUGAUCAAAUGGUGAACUAACUUUGGAGUCCAGGUGAUUAUCACAAUAUGUGUUCUCCUGACCUCAUAGCUUUAGUCUAUUGGAUUAUACUCGUGACUUUGUGUGGUGAGAAUCAUGCCUUUGCUCUUGCUCUUCCCUACUCCUCGUUCUCUGUGGCUGCUCUGUUUUGUCCAAAGUCCACCCAAUCUCCUGUAGUCUAAAGGGUUUUGCUAGGUCCACUGCCUCUGUCUAGGUCCUUGAGAGAUUAUCCAGCUGCUCUAGGAGAUUCAAUACUACCUCAAUAACCUUAAAAGAGUGCAAUUAUUAAUACUACACUUAAUGGCAGGGAAAAGAAUAUCACUGAAUUUUAAAUGAGUCAUGAUCUCUGCAUCUUUAAAGAAAGGUACAGGGAUAAAAGGUACAGACAUGAGGUGACAGACAAGCAAAAUGUUUUAUUCUUUUCUUUUUUCCCUAUGCUUAUAAAGUUGGCAUGGAUGUUUCAAAGGCUUUAUAUCUUUGUACAGAAUGACUGCAAAUGUUAGCUAGCAUCCAGGGAAGUACAGCAGCAAGUUAACCAAACCUGUAAUGCUACAGAGCAGGCGCAGA